CAUACCCGUGGUGCAUUCAAGGACUGCCGAACAAUGAACGAAAUCUCAAAGUUUGAUGAAAAAACAUUAUCAGUGAAGCAAAAGGACAAACGUGAAAAUUGCGGGCUUUAAUUUAUAAAUUAAACCAUGGUGCAUUCAAGGAUACCGAAACAGUGCGAAAUCUCAAAGCUUUUUGAAAAAACUAUCAGUGAGGCAAAAAGACAAACCUGAAAAUUGAGGACUUUAUUUUACAAAUUACACAACCAUGGUGUGUUCAAGGACUGACGAAUAAAGUGCGAAAUCUCAACGCUUCUUGAAAAAUCAUUAUCAGCGACGCAAAAAUACAUAAACGUGAAAAUUGUGGGCUUUAAUUUAUAGAUUAUACAACCAUGGUGCGUUGAAGGACCGCCAAAUAAAGUGCGAAAUUUCAACGCUUAUUGAAAAAUCAUUAUCAGCGACACAAAAAUACAUAAACGUCAAAAUUGUGGGCUUUAAUAUAAAGAUUACACAACCAUUGUGCGUUCAAGGACCACCGAACAAAGUGCAAAAUCUCAACGCUUAUUGAAAAAACGUUAUCGGUGACGCAAAAAGACAUACGCAUGUAAAAAUGAUGGGCUUCUUGAGCAGUGGUACAUGUAUGCCGUAUAUGUUACCUGAAUUAUCACGUAUUUUUAAAUUGUUAGCCACUUAUGAUGAAUGAGAAUGAAAUACGUUUUCUGCAGAAAAAACUGCCUAUUUUUGGAGAAAAUUGUGAAUGCGGGGUCGUGAGUGUAGAUCCACUGUAGUCGGGAAAUCACGCCCAUCGCAACAUCUACUCGCUUCCUCUUCUUUUUCUUCCCUCCUUUUUCAUUGUGAAUUGCAACCAGUCGAGUUAGUCCCUUUACAUUGAGUGUGGGUAGUGUCCACUGGGGCACUUUCACUAUGUGGCGAGUGUUGAGUGUACUGAUGGCACACUGGCCCGCUGAUGACGGGCAGUUUUUUCAGAAACAUCACAGAGUGAGUCCUCAUCAUUAAUGUCCAAACUUUAGCACAUACAGUGUGUAGUACCUUAAGGUGACGCUUGGGUUCAUUUUGGGGUACAGUAAGGGAACCAAAGCUGCUUUACCAAUUUUUAAAAGGAAACAUAAAAACUGCAAACUGCCAGAAAAGAGCAUGAAAAUGAGUUUCAUGCUCAUUUCAUGUAUAUAUUUAUCAUGUAAUCGUGUUUUUGUUGCGCUCCGUACCACAGGAUGGAGCCCACGUACAACCAGUGGCCCCCACACCGCCGUUUAAGAAUCAAUGCUGUCGUCCAUUCUCGCCAAGAAAUCAAGAUCAAAGUUGGUGGGCGUGGGAGCCCGGCAGUACAUCAUGUCCAGGAAACGCUUGUUGUUGUCCUGCUCGCUGUAGUUGCUCUCCACAGCAGACAAGGGAGUCCUGCUGCCGAAAUAGCGCUCGUGACGGCUGUAGCUGCCGAAGCAGGACGUGGACACGCGGUCGUCGCAGGCCUCGCCAAUCCUCUCAAGAGGCGGAGAGCAGCGAGAGUCGAGGGAGAAGCGCGACGGCUAAGGGGCUGGCCAUGGACGACCUGGAAGACAAGCUCUGACGCUGGAUGCUCCUCACAAAGGGGCGGACGGAGAAACCACCUUGAAAGCAAAAAGAUGAAAACAUCCAACUUGACUUUGAGACGAUUGAAGAAAAAUGUGCCAUUGCAGGCAGUGAAGCUUAAAUGAUGUGUCUCAAUUAAGACCAGCCUAUAAAUCUGCUAAACCAGUCUCGUGUCAGCAAGUGAAACCUAAUAAAUUACAUAACGCCGGAUGUGCUGGCCACGCUCUUGGUAACCAUAUGCUGAGGCAGCACUCUGCAGCGAGAGUCCUCAUUUCAUAUAUACCACAAGCAGCAGGCCAAGCUCACAUCUGCUUCAGUUUCACACAGCUUGGCGAGCUUUGCCAGAGCAAAGGCCAAAUGUGGACUAAUGUUGCAUUUGCUUAGCUCACUAAAUUGGGAGCUACAAACAAACUUGAUGUUUCAUUUGGAUUUUAACAGCAACAUUGUUAUUGGACAGGCCACUCUUAAGGAUGAAAUGAGAUGUGCUGCAAAGAAAAGGCGAGUGCAUCUUGAAACCACAUUGGAAUCUCCACUAAUGGUGUGGCUUUAGAAGGACUCAAGCAUUUGUCUCUUGUCAGCAAUAUAAAAUGGUUAAAAAAUCUGAGAUGUACAACACGACCAUUGUCUCACCGUCGUCUUCGCUACGCUCUCCGGUAAACUCCACUGACUCCGCCAGCGAAGCCAGGGAGGUGCGUCUGGAUGAGGCACCGGAGGCCAAGCUAGCAGGUCUACUACCGGGCAGCCUGUUGAUCCAGUGGUCACACAAGGAAGAACUGGUAGAGCCUGCAAGGUAAAUAACAUUUUUUUUUUUUUAAAGUAAAUGACCUGACUGAAAAAUGAGGGGUGAUUAACAAGCCCGACCUGCAACAGAGCUGUUGGCAGACCAGGAGGGGAUGGCAGUCCUCCGCUGGUAGAAGAGUAUGUAGGCAGUUUGUUGACACACGUCGUCAUCACCGACUGGUGAAACCUCGCUGUCAUCGAAGCAGUACCACUGGCCGUCAACCGAGUUCUUGCAGUAGGCUGCACAAAAGAAAAUUACAUUUAAUGUGCAAGACCGUGCAUUUCUCCAAUCCUGCAUCGGCUGUUUGUGUUACCAGUGUAGUGUCCUCCGUGCAUGCUCCCGUGAUGGUUGCACACGGCGUACAGGUCAUAAAGGAAAUCAUCUGGGUUUCUCCCCAGGCCGUAGGGUCGCCUCCACGGUGACCAGUGGGAGGGUAAACUCCAGCUGC